GGAUGUGAGGGCGAUCUGGCUGCAACAUCUGUCACCCCCAUUGAUCUCCAGGGUUGAUUCGGCUGAUCUGGCUGGCUAGGCGGGUGUCCCCUUCCUCCCUCACCGCUCCAUGUGCUUCCCUCCCGAAGCUGCACGCUCAGUCGAAGAGGACGACAUUCCCUGAUAGAGGAGGACCGUUCUUCGGUCAAGGGUAUACGAGUAGCUAUGCUCCCCUGCUAGAACCUCCAAACAAGCUCUCAAGGUCCAUUUGUAGGAGAACGUAGGGUAGUCAAGCUUCCAAGACUCCAGACACAUCCAAAUGAGGCGCUGCACGUGGCAGUCUGCCUUUCUAA
rnacentral:snRNA from 1 species